rnacentral:lncRNA from 1 species
UAUAGAACCUAUAAGGAGAUAAAAGAACUUCAGCAUUAUAAAUGGAGUUCUUUUGGAAGCAAUGAAUCAAUCAAGAUGGUUGUUCUGUCUCUGAAAGUCAAGGUCUCUUCAGAUCUAGUGAAGAGGUCUUCUUGAUUUUCCUGAAGCUUCUCCCCAGCUAUCUUCUUCCGUGAUAACAUGCUGCUCUGGAUAUUUGUACAGUCACAGUAUUGAAUGAGUCUGGUAUAAGAAGGUCCUCCUGGAGCAGAGGUAGAAGAGAAAGAUGGUCUCUGCAGUCAAGGAGCCUAUCCUCUCAUCAGCGAUGUUGGACGCAAAUACCCACAAAGUUAAACCAAAAUGUAUGGCCCUGCGGAUCGGCACAUCGAAUCCCAUCGCUGAGCCUUCCUUGCGCACAUCCCAGGUUCCUCUGCAAAGCCUUUGCCAUGGCAUCGAGCCGCUCGUGGAGUGCUCUUCUGUGCAAGGGGCUGUGUGCUGUUCGCAACACGGGCUCCACGAAGGAGGUCCCGUGAUUCAUUUUCAUCUCAUCGCCAGUCGCCUUGCCCCUAUGCCAGGGCUGGGAAGCAACAAGCGGGAGGUCUGUGCCAUGAGUAGAUCUGAGUCACGGGAGAGAAUCCGAAGGAAAAUGAGCAGCUUAAAAAUACUGCAUAGGAAAGAAAUGGUGUUUUAUAUAAGGAAAACUCUGAAGAUUACACUGGCUGGUACAAGAAAGAUUUGUUUCGGAGACGAAAGUAAGAAUGUAAUAGACCGCAAGUGGAGCAAAGUGGCAACUGGAGACAAGGCAAAGUGGCGACUCUGAUGCAGCCCUGCAUUUGUUCUGGAUUCUUCUAGGCCCUUCCAGGAGAUGGUAGCAGGGAAAGGAACUUACACUGACUUUCUCCAAGUGUUGUAGGAUUUUUCACAGACUUCGCAGGUGUGCUACACAUUUGCAAUUAACAGAAUACUUAAUCCUGAUGUGCCUUUUCUUUCCCAUAGGCUUUAUUAUAGCUGGAAUAUGUUACAAUGCAUCAUACUCUACGAUGCCUAUAAAAAUGCCUGCUUGUUUUAAAUGUUGGAUUUUAUGCAUUUUAUGUUUAUAUUAGGCCGAAAGUGUCCCUAUAUUUUAGUGAUAGACAUUUACGCUCAUCCACAGGGUAAGAAACAAUAUAAUGUAGCAGUAUGUUGUCUCUGAAAGAGUUUAUAGAAGUGGGGUAGUUUCGUAUUUAAUUUUAAGUUACUAAUUUUUAAGGAAAGGGUUUGCUUGAGAUAGUUAUUACAGUUUCCAGGGCCCACAUGGUGAGAAUAUGCAUCUUUGCAACCAGCAGAGAGUUCGUAAGAUUCAGGUACCCAGAGUCAG